rnacentral:rRNA from 1 species
UACAGAGGUCUCAAGCGUUGUUCGGAUUCAUUGGGCGUAAAGGGUGCGUAGGCGGCGUGGUAAGUCGGAUGUGAAAUCUCGGAGCUUAACUCCGAAACUGCAUUCGAUACUGCCGUGCUUGAGGACUGGAGAGGAGACUGGAAUUUACGGUGUAGCGGUGAAAUGCGUAGAUAUCGUAAGGAAGACCAGUGGCGAAGGCGGGUCUCUGGACAGUUCCUGACGCUGAGGCACGAAGGUCAGGGGGAGCAAACGGGG